rnacentral:rRNA from 1 species
GAUGAACGCUGGCGGCGUGCCUAAUACAUGCAAGUCGAGCGAACAGACGAGGAGCUUGCUCCUCUGACGUUAGCGGCGGACGGGUGAGUAACACGUGGAUAACCUACCUAUAAGACUGGGAUAACUUCGGGAAACCGGAGCUAAUACCGGAUAACAUGUUGAACCGCAUGGUUUAACAGUGAAAGACGGUCUUGCUGUAACUUAUAGAUGGAUCCGCGCCGCAUUAGCUAGUUGGUAAGGUAACGGCUUACCAAGGCAACGAUGCGUAGCCGACCUGAGAGGGUGAUCGGCCACAGUGGAGCUGAGACGCGGUCCAGACUCCUACGGGAGGCAGCAGUAGGGACUCGUCCGCAAUGGGCGAAAGCCUGACGGAGCAACGCAGCGUGAGUGAAGAAGGUCUUCGGAUCGUAAAACUCUGUUAUGAGGGAAGAACAAAUGUGUAAGUAACGAUGCACGUCUUGACGGUACCUAAACAGAAAGCCACGGCUAACUACGU